rnacentral:rRNA from 1 species
UCCGUCGGGGGCAAGCGUUGUCCGGAUUUAUUGGGCGUAAAGAGCGUGUAGGCGGCCAGACAGGUCCGUUGUGAAAACUCGAGGCUCAACCUCGAGACGCCGAUGGAAACCGUUUGGCUAGAGUCCGGAAGAGGAGAGUGGAAUUCCUGGUGUAGCGGUGAAAUGCGCAGAUAUCAGGAAGAACACCCGUGGCUAAGGCGGCUCUCUAGUACGGUACUGACGCUGAGACGCGAAAGCGUGGGGAGCGAACAGG